rnacentral:rRNA from 1 species
CCUAUGGGGGGCAGCAGUCGCGAAAACUUCACAAUGGGCGCAAGCCCGAUGAGGGAACUCCUAGUGCUAGCACUUUUUGUGUUAGCUUUUCUUCAGCGUAGAUAACUGAAGGAAUAAGGGCUGGGUAAGACGGGUGCCAGCCGCCGCGGUAAUACCUGCAGCCCAAGUGGUGGUCGAUUUUAUUGAGUCUAAAACGUUCGUAGCCGGUCUGGUAAAUCCUUGGGUAAAUCGGAAAGCUUAACUUUCCGAAUUCCGAGGAGACUGCCAGACUUGGGACCGGGAGAGGCUAGAGGUACUUCUGGGGUAGGGGUAAAAUCCUGUAAUCCUAGAAGGACCACCGGUGGCGAAGGCGUCUAGCUAGAACGGAUCCGACGGUGAGGGACGAAGCCCUGGGUCGCAAACGGGAUUAGAUACCCCCGUAGUCC